UGCGAAGGGGGCUAGCGUUGUUCGGAAUUACUGGGCGUAAAGCGCACGUAGGCGGAUAUUUAAGUCAGGGGUGAAAUCCCGGGGCUCAACCCCGGAACUGCCUUUGAUACUGGGUAUCUAGAGUCCAGAAGAGGUGAGUGGAAUUCCGAGUGUAGAGGUGAAAUUCGUAGAUAUUCGGAGGAACACCAGUGGCGAAGGCGGCUCACUGGUCUGGUACUGACGCUGAGGUGCGAAAGCGUGGGGAGCAAACAGG
rnacentral:rRNA from 1 species